rnacentral:rRNA from 1 species
UACAGAGGGUGCAAGCGUUGUUCGGAAUUAUUGGGCGUAAAGCGCGCGCAGGCGGUCCUUUAAGUCUGAUGUGAAAUCCCACGGCUCAACCGUGGAAGGUCAUUGGAAACUGGGGGACUUGAGUACAGAAGAGGAAAGCGGAAUUCCAAGUGUAGCGGUGAAAUGCGUAGAGAUUUGGAGGAACACCAGUGGCGAAGGCGGCUUUCUGGUCUGUAACUGACGCUGAGGCGCGAAAGCGUGGGGAGCAAACAGG